rnacentral:rRNA from 1 species
GACGAACGCUGGCGGCGUGCUUAACACAUGCAAGUCGAACGGAAAGGCCCUGCUUUUGUUGGGUGCUCGAGUGGCGAACGGGUGAGUAACACGUGAGUAACCUGCCCUUGACUUUGGGAUAACUUCAGGAAACUGGGGCUAAUACCGGAUAGGAGCUCCUGCUGCAUGGUGGGGGUUGGAAAGUUUCGGCGGUUGGGGAUGGACUCGCGGCUUAUCCGCUUGUUGGUGGGGUAGGGGCUUACCAAGGCUUUGACGGGUAGCCGGCCUGAGAGGGUGACCGGCGACAUUGGGACUGAGAUACGGCCCAGACUCCUACGGGCGGCAGCAGUGGGGAAUAUUGCACAAUGGGCGGAAGCCUGAUGCAGCAACGCCGCGUGCGGGAUGACGGCCUUCGGGUUGUAAACCGCUUUCGCCUGUGACGAAGCGUGAGUGACGGUAAUGGGUAAAGAAGCACCGGCUAACUACGUG